GGAACAUGUGUUCAUCAGCCAUGAUCACAAGGGAUUAUUAUGACACAGGGGACAUGUCAGGGAACAAAACAGACAAGUCCCUUCCUUGUGGGGCGCCUACUCCAGUCGAAAAGUGAGGAGAGCACAUUUCUAAGAACUGUGUGUCUGAGUUUAUACAAGUUAAAUGUGUACCCUUCGAUCAGCUCAGUGAAAUAGGUUCACCCACUGUGCCCAGUUUAUAGGAUCAACUGGUUUGAUGGGUUAUUUUCUUUGGAGUCUCUGUGGAUGGCUCUGGACCCAAGGCUUGUUUCUCUGAAGAGCCUUCCCUCCCAACACCACCAUAUAAGGGCCAUCAUCACCAAGCAGAAUUCCAGGAGACUGUUCAGAAGAGCAAGGUUUCUGUGUCAGAACAAGAUGUUUCAGCUUUGGAAACUUGGCCUGCUCACUGGGACUUCAGCAUCUCUUCUUGACCACAAUGUUGUAAGAGAGCUGCAAUCUGCUCUUUAA
rnacentral:lncRNA from 1 species